ensembl:rRNA 5S_rRNA 5S ribosomal RNA
GUCUACAUCUAUCCCACCCUGAACACGCCCGAUCUCAUCUGAUCUCAGAAGCUAAGCAGGGUUGGGCCUGGUUAGUACUUGGAUGGGAGACCGCCUGGGAAUACCAGGUGCUGUAGGCU